rnacentral:rRNA from 1 species
CGCCUCUUGCUCAAAUAUAAGAGGUCCAGCCUGCCCAGUGACUCUUCAACGGCCACGGUACCCUAACCGUGCAAAGGUAGCGCAAUUACUUGUCCUUUAAAUGAGGACCCGAAUGAACGGCAUCACGAGGGUUACACUGUCUCCUUACCCCAAUCAGUGAAACUGACCUACCUGUGAAAAGGCAGGAAUAUUAAUAUUAGACGAGAAGACCCCAUGGAGCUUUAGACUUAAAGCAAGCCAGACAACUAAAGUUCUAGACCCAUGUCUCCACAGUCUUCGGCUGGGGCGACCAUGGAGAAAAAAUCAACCUCCACGCCGAACGGAUACUUCCUUAUCUACGAGCAACACCUCCAAGAAACAGAAUACUGACGCCCACUGAUCCGGACCCCGAUCAACGAACCAAGUUACCCUGGGGAUAACAGCGCUAUCUGCCUCAAGAGUUCAUAUCGACAGGCGGGUUUACGACCUCGAUGUUGGAUCAGGGUGUCCUAGUGGUGCAGCCGCUACAUAAGGUUCGUUUGUUCAACGAUUAAAACCC